UCGCAUCCGCCAACCGGUUCAGCCGUGUCGCGGAAGGUUUACCAACCAGCUAAUGCUCCCUGCAGGGGAGCGGAGGUCAGCG
rfam:Acidovorax temperans strain KY4 Contig_72, whole genome shotgun sequence.